rnacentral:tRNA from 1 species
GGCCGGGUGGCGAAACAGGCAUACGCGCCCCGUUUAAAGCGGGGUGACCGCAAGGUCUUGAGGGUUCAAAUCCCUCCCCGGCCA